rnacentral:rRNA from 1 species
GGAAGAAUCUGGAGACAGGUGCUGCAUGGCUGUCGUCAGCUCGUGUCGUGAGAUGUUGGGUUAAGUCCCGCAACGAGCGCAACCCUUGCCUUUAGUUGCCAGCAGUUCGGCUGGGCACUCUAAAGGGACUGCCGGUGUUAAACCGGAGGAAGGUGGGGAUGACGUCAAGUCCUCAUGGCCUUUAUGACCAGGGCUACACACGUACUACAAUGGCCGAUACAAAGGGCAGCGACACUGCGAGGUGAAGCCAAUCCCGUAAAAUCGGUCUCAGUCCGGAUUGGAGUCUGCAACUCGACUCCAUGAAGUUGGAAUCGCUAGUAAUCGUGGAUCAGCAUGCCACGGUGAAUACGUUCCCGGGCCUU